GUAUGAAACAAUGCUUCUCUUGCCUGAAAGCCACUUGUGUGGCAUUUCUUUCUGUUAAGAAUGGGGAGGGGGUGGGGGGAUUACAAAGAGCCAAAACAGGCAUCAACUAGGCCACCCAUAAAUCCUGAAAGUUACUUUGAUGAGAUCUGCCUCUUGCCUCUGUUCAAUGAGACAGAGACAACUAAAAAAUCUUCAUCUCCAAGCCUGGCCUUUCUAUUGCACUGUAGUCUCAGGUCUGCAAAAGCCCAAUGGGCCUUUCCCAAGUACCCAGUCAGCAUCUUCACUCAGUGAGUUCAAAAUUAAACUGGUGCUUUCCCCUCCCAAACCUGCUCCUCCUCUGCUGCCCUAUGUUUCUGUUUAUGGCUCCACUCAGGUUCAAAAUCAUGAAGAUGUCUUUGGUGCCUUCCUCUCCCUUGCUCCCAAAAUAUAAUGGAUUAAUACUCUUCUGCCAUGCAUCAUAAAUCAGUUCACCAUCUAUUCAGUCCCUCUGCCCCUGUCCUAGUUAGGGUCCUCAAUGCCUUUUACCUGGACCAUUGUGUAGUCCCUACAUGAUCUUGCAUCCCCUGCUCUUUUGCGACUCCAAUCCAUUUUAUUCACUGUUUCCAGAUUAAUCUUUUGGAGGCACAGCUCUGAUUAUGUUACUCUCCCACUAAAAACUUCCAAUAGCUCCCCAUUGUCUACUGAAUAAAGUCCAAAUUCCUUGGCCUGGUAAUAAAGUCCUUUCCCUUUCUGGUCCCAAUCUACUUUAACCACUUUAUUUCCCACUACUCACCUUCCCACACUCCAUGCUCUAGUUAAACUCAACUACUUCUUUGCAGAUUCUUUAGCCUUUGAUUCUUCCAGGCUUUGCUUAAGGUUUCAAAAAUGUGCUUAUCUUUUAUCUUUGUGUGCUCAAAUCCUCCUUGCCUUUUAAGGUCCAAAUUCAGUGUCACCUCUUCUGUAGAGCCCUCAGCCCUCCUCUGAACUCCAAGAACACUUUAUUUGUACUUCUUUUAUGGAGCAUGUAUCACUUUCUAUUGUAGAUUCUAGCAAAGCAGGCACAGGUUCAAGUUCUCUUGCUAGAUUAAAACUUCUUUGAGGACAGGAUUUGUGUCUUAUUUACCUGUAUCCCCCCACUUCCCCCCUCCCCAGUGCUGAGUAAAUACACAGGUACACUGCUUUGUCAAGGGAAUGAGUUAAUGCAUGCACUUUAUACACAACCAAAACAUAGGUGUUGUUUCCUGUCCUUGCCCAAAGCAGAUUAGAAGUAAGCAUCAGAGAAGGAAUGAGGAGCUUAGAGGCUUGCACAACAAGAAAUAACUUGAUAGCUAAAGAAGAGAAAUGAAAACUAUAAAAAAGAAGAUAUGAGAACUAAAAUAUUAUAGCAGUUAAGUGGUAAAUAAGCACAGAAGCAAAUAAUCUUAUAGAAUAAGGACCAAAUGGUUAAUGCCACAUGGAACAGCUUGGAAACCACAAAAUAAUAUUCAAAUAUAUAGGACUAUUUUUAUACUUCCACACCCCUAUCAGCAUCAGCAGAAACACAAAGCAAUUGUAAUUCAAGAUGAUGACCCUAAGUCAGUUAGAGAAGUUUGCAGGAUAGUAAACAACAACAACAACAACUAGAUAUGCAUACAAAUUUAAUAUAUGCAUAUCAAAACUUAAAAUUAAUAAGAUGAAAAUAUCUCUUGAUAGUUAAGAGGAGAUAAUAAAAGAAUUUUAUGUAAACCUGAUUUCCAUGAAAAAGUCAGGUAAGUAAGUUUUCCUUUCAUAUAUAUUUUUCCAAAUAUUAGGAAAUUAUUAUUUUUUCC
rnacentral:lncRNA from 1 species